rnacentral:miRNA from 1 species
UGUUCCAGGACCUGUCGCAGUUU